UGCUCUGUGCAGAUUGUUGCUCUUUCGGUAAAGAAAUAAGAGAAACGACGACACGUGUAAGAAUCAUCUGAACGUUUAUUGUGCUCAUUCAAAACACGACUCGAUAAAAAAAGAGACGGACAGCUUUGGGAGUAACUGUUGGUUAUGCAGCACGUACGAUGGUUUGUUCAAAAAACGUUGUAUUAAAUUGUGGAAUCGGAUCCAAGAAGUCCAGAUGAGCGAGGAAGACCCGCUUUGUGAUGUCUGUAUCAAAGCAGCUGUAACAGUCAGGUGCUCCACAUCUGGAUCAUCCGUGUGAUUGUGAACGCAUGAAUCAAAAGGUCUUAUUGCGCAGGUUCCUUUUCGUCAGUAUUUCAAGCGAUUGAGACGGAUCACACAUUUAAAUAAGUGUUAAUAUCCGGAAUCAGAACUCGAUAAGCAGUACACACAUGAUCAAACAAUUUGAACGAGGACAUUUAAGACACUAAAUGGGAUUCUGAUGAGGAUACAUGAGCCGGUGAAGCUGUUGACUUUCACCCCGGGAGCUUUGAAGCAGAACUUCCCUCCAAUCGUUGAUUUGCAUAAAAUACGAACACUUUAAAAACAAAAUGUACUCAAAGAUUUAAAAAUGUAUCACAGUUUGAAUAUGAUCACGAUUCAAAAAGCAAAAUCCAUCUCAAGCCGUUUCGGGUUUAAGUUCACAGUCGAGUGCGUGAGAAUGUUCCAGGCAAUCGUCUUCUACCCAACGUCAGCACGGAAAUCAUCAAACAGAAAGAAAAAAAACGCAUCUUGUUUUUGGGAUGAGAAAUACAAUUCUGGUGGAAUAACCCUUUAAAAACAUGGCAAAUACAUACAUAAUCUUUUCAUCUUGACAAAGAAAAAUACAAUAUCUUAAGUGUCACAGAGCAGGAACCCAAGGAGAAGAUCCAGAGACCCCCCCCCCAGAAUAAAAUCAGUGUUUGAUCACCAUUAAUUGCACGACAGAUAAGACCUUCAGAUUUCCACACCUGGGGCGGGGGGGGGGGGGGGUCUUUGGUAAAGUCAUACUUUAGGGUCGAGCAGCUCAUCUGCCCAGAGUUUAAAUACAAUAAAUAGAGAAAAAGGCGGGAAACAUAUGGGAAACUAGACAGAAACCGAAGUUCCCGUCUGCGUGACGGUCAACCGUUUCCGCUGAAAACCCACCUGACCUUCCGUGACCUCGUGGAUGAGUUUGAUCAACAUGCAGGUACUUUAUAAAUAAUCGAUAUGCCCAUAAAUACUACAUGAAUCUCCUGUAGCCCUUUGGUUUGCUGAACGUGGAGGAGGAUUUGAAUGCGUCUCCUCCGCCGUGUUUUACUCUUUAGAUUUGAACUCCGCUGAGAGCAGCUGUACAAGAGGAGAGUCUGCUUUGGUUUGGUGUCAAAUGGAUUAAAGAGAAAGAAAAGGAAAACAGUUUGAGAUAAAAUACUUUGGCGUGCGCUUGUUGACGUACGCGUUCGUUAGAUAUUAUUGUCUCAUGACCUUGAGGAGCCCUUUGGUUUUCUGCUGGGACUCACGAGGAUGAAGAAGACAUUUAAAAGUACCAACCAAGUGUUUCAAAUUCAAGACAAAUACUUCCAGCCCUUCGGAUUUAAAUCACAUGGAGGAAUAAUAGUAUAUUAAAAAAAUAUAUAUAUAUUAUAUUUUUAUAUAUUAUAAUAAAUUAUAUUUUA
ensembl:lncRNA